UACGAAGGGUGCAAGCGUUACUCGGAAUUACUGGGCGUAAAGGGUGCGUAGGUGGUUCUUUAAGUCUGCUGUGAAAGCCCCGGGCUCAACCUGGGAAUGGCAGUGGAUACUGGAGAGCUAGAGUGCGGUAGAGGGUAGUGGAAUUCCCGGUGUAGCAGUGAAAUGCGUAGAGAUCGGGAGGAACACCAGUGGCGAAGGCGGCUACCUGGACCAGCACUGACACUGAAGCACGAAAGCGUGGGGGAGCAAACAGG
rnacentral:rRNA from 1 species